rnacentral:rRNA from 1 species
CACGUAGGCACCAAGCGUUGUCCGGAUUUAUUGGGCGUAAAGAGCUCGUAGGCGGUUCAGUAAGUCGGGUGUGAAAACUUUGGGCUUAACCCAAAGCGUGCAUCCGAUACUGCUGUGACUUGAGUUCGGUAGGGGAGUGGGGAAUUCCCAGUGUAGCGGUGAAAUGCGCAGAUAUUAGGAGGAACACCGGUGGCGAAGGCGCCACUCUGGGCCGAAACUGACGCUGAGGAGCGAAAGCAUGGGUAGCAAACAGG